CAGCCGCCACGGUAAUACGAAGGGUGCAAGCGUUACUCGGAAUUACUGGGCGUAAAGCGUGCGUAGGUGGUGGUUUAAGUCCGUUGUGAAAGCCCUGGGCUCAACCUGGGAAUUGCAGUGGAUACUGGGUCACUAGAGUGUGGUAGAGGAUAGUGGAAUUUCCGGUGUAGCAGUGAAAUGCGUAGAGAUCGGAAGGAACAUCUGUGGCGAAGGCGACUAUCUGGGCCAACACUGACACUGAUGCACGAAAGCGUGGGGAGCAAACAGGAUUAGAUACCCCUGUAGUCCCUGUCUCUUAUAC
rnacentral:rRNA from 1 species